rnacentral:sRNA from 1 species
AAUUCUUCCUAUUCGGGAAGGAUGAGAAGCUUCGACCAAGGUUCGAUUCGAGCGUUAGCGAGAAAGCGUUGCCGCAGGCAACGACCCGAAGGGCGAAGCGCAAAAUCAAUCUGCAAUGCCCUUUA